GCCGCGGUGGGGGACACGGACCAGCCAGCGGGUACCGGCAGCGCUCGAGCCUUACACUCCAGCUUCGAAGGUUGCCUGGAGAGGCUCCGCCACCGUGGGUCCGCGCCUUCCCAAGAUCACUUCAGUUUGAUGAUGUCGGAGAUCUGCAGAAUAGCAUCCAAAUCGGUGAUGCAAUCGGCCGCAUUGUGCGCUAGACUUGUGGGUAAGCGAUCUAGAGGGACCUUUUCUUCCUCCGGAGCCCGAGUUGCGUGCUUUGAUUUCACCCCUCACUCUCCGCCCUGCCGCCCAGCAUCAUUUAGGCCAAGAUCGGGUAUAAUGGGAAACACCAUCAGCAGACAAUUACCCUUUCAGAGGAUUCACUUCUCCUCACAGACACUGUUAUUUGAGAAAUAGGAUCAUUUGAUUUCAUAUUGCACUAAAUAACACCCAGCCGGUUCAAAUUGCCAGCUUCUUAAAAACCGCCCAUUGGAAUAAAUUGCAGCGGCCUCUUUUGCUUUUCUGGCCAAUACUGUGGGUACCGGGCAGAACUUGCAAAAAUAACUAUAAAGCCAACUCUGAGCAGUCUCCAUCGUGUUUCCCUCUCCCAACUUUGACAGGGCUCAAUCACUUGACUUUGGAAUUAAAAUGCACAGCUUUGGUCGCCCCAGGAAGCGCUUCGAACCACAGGUGCAUAAGCAUUCAUCAGAGAAAGACAGUGCGGGGCAGAAGACAUAGAGUUCUCUGUCCAGCUAGGUCGCCUUGAAGAGUUAGUGUGCUCGAGGACUGCUACAGGUCUGGGCUUCACUAGCGGUGUCUCGCCCUUCCGGUCCCAGGUCUCUCCUCCUCAGAGCCUUGUCACUACCGCCACCGCCAGCAAAACUUCACGCUCUCCAGCAAGGCUUUUUCUUCUCUAGCGGCUAGAGCCAGUCUGGGAUCCACGACCCCAAGGGUCCACCUAGACAGCCAAAGGAGAAAGCUGCAUUGGGGCAUCAGGCCCUAGUGGAAUGGGAAGGAGGAGAAGACUAGAAGCGAGCAGAGAACAUUAGUUCACUGAACACGCACCACCAUAGACAUUUUAGAAAAAAAAAAUUUAAGCCCUCUGAAGUUGACCGUUUUGCUCUGGUUUAAUUGACGCUGUUCAACUGAGUGACAAUUGUUCUGCGGAUGGGGCCAUCCAUCCCCACCCCCGCACUCAAAAAAAAAAAUAGUCUUUGCUUCUUGGUUCCUUCAUGCCAAGGGGCAAAGUGUGUUUAAGACAGUUUUGGCAAACAUGUCCUUUGGAGCUUUGCUUUGUUAGAUUUGUGUUUAUGUACUUCGGGGAAGGUGGAUUAGAUUCUUCCUCUCCAAGAUAAACUGAAGGCGGGAUCCUGGUGCCUUUCCCUGGCGCACCCCCAUUGCUGGCAGGAGCAAGAAGGAAUCUUUUGGUGGGCCAGUUAUACUAGGAGAAGAAAGCACAGCAGAAUGAGUUUUCUGGACGAUCAGAGGUUCCUGGUGCUGAGGAAUGGAGACAUGAGAAUGAGGUAUUCCCACGGACGGAUCAUCUCCCUUCACUUCAGCCAGGCUUGUGGGCCAGGAGACAGACCAAAUUAUGUGUUAUCCUGGGCAGUAGGAAGUAGCACACAUGUCCAUGCAAAGCAGAGAGACAUGAAAACAUGGAACCAAGGGAAAAUUUCAGAACAAAUAGAAAAAGUUUGUAUGGCUUGGUAGUCAGUUGAUGGAUAGUCCUCAAGUCUCUGGACUCUAGUCUCCGAGGCUGUGACUCUACUCUUAAUCCUUAGGUUUCCAAAGGCAGAAGAAGCCUGUGGGAGAAUGGGCCAUCAUGUCCCUAUGUCCCUCAGAUACACACAGGUUCUCUCUCUCUCUCUCUCUCUCUCUCUCUCUCUCUCUCUCUCUCUCUCUCUCUCUUUCUCUCUCUCUCCCCUCUGUCCUUCCUCCGCCUCCCUCUUCUUUCUUCUCUCUCCUCCCUUCCUUCCUUUUCUUCCUCCUCCUUAUUCUUUGCUCCUUCUUUUGGUACAAUCACCAAAAGAAGCUCUGUAGACAAUUGGAAUGACCAGAAGACUGACAAGACUUCCUCAGUUGAUCCUACUGACCAGGGUGGGGAGUGUUUAUGUAACUUCUUCAACAUGUUCUUUCUGCAAAUCUUACCCCCCACCCCACCUCCUAAGUAACUGGCUUGAAUGAUCAUUUCAUAUCAAAAGAUUACUGUAUCAUCUAAAGACUUCUUGCCUCAGCUGUCCCCCUGGCUAUGGGUAUCAGGCGAGUCCAGGAGGUUUCUUCACGCUCAUUGCCAUGGUUAGCACCAUUUCGUGUACUGAUAACUGGCGUGCAGAAACUGUGUUCUUUGGGGGUUCUUGGAGGUUUGUAGUGGCUAUUCUCUGCUCCAAGGAGGUAGAAUAGAACACAUGGAUCACACCUAGGUUUAAAUUGCUCUGUCAGUAGCUGCAUGAUUGUGGGCACAUUGGAAUACCUCUUUUAGAUAUAUGAAGACAUUUCCUCAUCUGUAAAGUGAGGGUAGCCACACUCAACUCACAGGAUUGUUGGGAGUAGUAUAUAAGUAAGUACACACUGAUUCUAAUAAAUAACUUUUAAAACAAGA